rnacentral:rRNA from 1 species
UACGUAGGCAGCAAGCGUUGUUCGGAGUUACUGGGCGUAAAGGGUGUGUAGGUGGCUUUCUAAGUUUGGUGUGAAAUCUCCCGGCUCAACCGGGAGGGUGCGCCGAAGACUGGGGAGCUAGAGUAUGGGAUGGGAAAGUGGAAUUCCUGGUGUAGCGGUGAAAUGCGUAGAUAUCAGGAGGAACACCUGCGGUGUAGACGGCUUUCUGGACCAUUACUGACACUGAGACACGAAAGCGUGGGUAGCAAACAG